rnacentral:rRNA from 1 species
GAUGAACGCUGGCGGCGUGCCUAAUACAUGCGAGUCGAGCGAACGGACGAGAAGCUUGCUUCUCUGAUGUUAGCGGCGGACGGGUGAGUAACACGUGGAUAACCUACCUAUAAGACUGGGAUAACUUCGGGAAACCGGAGCUAAUACCGGAUAAUAUUUUGAACCGCAUGGUUCAAAAGUGAAAGACGGUCUUGCUGUCGCUUAUAGAUGGAUCCGCGCUGCAUUAGCUAGUUGGUAAGGUAACGGCUUACCAAGGCAACGAUGCAUAGCCGACCUGAGAGGGUGAUCGGCCACACUGGAACUGAGACACGGUCCAGACUCCUACGGGAGGCAGCAGUAGGGAAUCUUCCGCAAUGGGCGAAAGCCUGACGGAGCAACGCCGCGUGAGUGAUGAAGGUCUUCGGAUCGUAAAACUCUGUUAUUAGGGAAGAACAUAUGUGUAAGUAACUGUGCACAUCUUGACGGUACCUAAUCAGAAAGCCACGGCUAACUACGUG